GACGAACGCUGGCGGCGUGCCUAAUACAUGCAAGUCGAGCGGACCGAACGAGGGCUUGCUCUUGUUUGGUCAGCGGCGGACGGGUGAGUAACACGUGGGCAGCCUGCCCGCAAGACCGGGAUAACUCCGGGAAACCGGAGCUAAUACCGGAUAACACCGAAGACCGCAUGGUCUUCGGUUGAAAGGCGGCCUUUGGGCUGUCACUUGCGGAUGGGCCCGCGGCGCAUUAGCUAGUUGGUGGGGUAACGGCUCACCAAGGCGACGAGGCGUAGCCGGCCUGAGAGGGUGACCGGCCACACUGGGACUGAGACACGGCCCAGACUCCUACGGGAGGCAGCAGUAGGGAAUCUUCCGCAAUGGGCGAAAGCCUGACGGAGCGACGCCGCGUGAGCGAAGAAGGCCUUCGGGUCGUAAAGCUCUGUUGUGAGGGACGAAGGAGCGCCGUUCGAAGAGGGCGGCGCGGUGACGGUACCUCACGAGAAAGCCCCGGCUAACUACGUGCCAGCCGCCGCGGUAA
rnacentral:rRNA from 1 species